AUUUAUUGUGUCUGUAGAAAAAGGAACGAUGGCAGGCUAUAUUGGCACUGUGAUUCAUGCAAUGAGUGGUACCAUCCUGUUUGCAUGGGUUUUGAUGAAAAGGAAGAACCACAUGUAUACAUUUGCCCUUCAUGUCAGGUGAAAAUUAAAAGAAAGGCAUGCCCUACACUUGAGGAAGUUGAAGAAAAGCUGCGAAAAGACAUUGAAGUAGAAAGCUCAGAUCCUAUGGACGAAACUUUGGCAGGAGGUUUGCAGGACCAUUCUGAAACAACCCCAGUCUUUUUGAACCAUCCACAUGUGAGGUUUUUCAUUGAGAUUAAAAAAAGAAAAGGACAAGAAAUUUUAAUUCAGG